UGUCCUUUGUGGUCUUUGUAGCACUCUUAUAAAUUGAUAAAUCAGCUGCUGUUACUGUUAUUCCUCAUUUUAUGGAUGAGAAAACAAAAGCACUGAAAAUUUAAGUGGUUUAUCCAGUGUCACACAACUAGUGAGUAGUGGCAUGCCUCCUGAUUCACUUAUUUCUAAAUCUUAUGAGAUUUUCCCUUCUCUUGAGUGGAUUUUGAGCUCUUUGAAACAAGCUGCCCAUCCGACUUAUUCUGCUGUGCUUGGAACAUAGCAGGUGCUCAAUAUGUACUUGUAAAAUAGAAUCAUCUAAACUGUAAUGGAAUUUAAAGUGUCAGCCUUUCUUUGUAAAGAAUUUUACUAUUCAAAUACCAUUUUAUCAAUCUAAUAGAAUUAUGCUGUGACCUUGAAUAUACUGAAAUUGCAUUUUAAAGUCCUAUAAAUAAAGCAAAAGAGAGUUGUCUUGGGAAACAUAACAAAAAGGCAAAGGAUGAGUAUUUUAUUAAUAUAUUUAAUUCCUUUCUAUCAGUUAUCUAUUGCUGCAUGACAAAUUGCCCUAAAAUUUGGCAGCUUACAAAAACAAACAUUUCUUCUCUCAUAGUUUCUGUGAAUCAGGAAUAUUGGUGCAGCUUAGCUGGAUCCUCAGUUUCCUGAUCUCUCAGAAGGCUGUGACCAAUGUACAGGCUGGGGCUACAAUCAUCUCUCAGCUGGAAUGGGGUGGGAUACCUUGAAAGCUCACCCACGUGGCUGCAGGCAGGUCUCAGGUUCUAGAUGACUAUUGCAUGGAGAUGUCAGUUUUUGUGGGGUUGUUUUUUGUUUUCUGUUUUUCUCACAUGGCCCUCUCCAUUAAACUGAUCAAACAAGGUAACUGGUCACUUUUAGAGCAGGUGAGCCAGAGAGAGCAAGAAAGGGCAUGCAAGACAAAAACCACAGGUUGUUUUUUUUUUUUUUUUAAUUAAUCUCAGAAGUGAUAUCUCAUCGCUCUAGCAUUCUGUUCAUUGGAAGAGAGUCACUAGUUCCAGCCUACACUCAAGAGGAAGGGAUUGCACCUCCCUAGUAUUCAAUACUAGGAGGAUAUUAGGAAGUUUUAGUCAUCUGGGCCCUCCGAAUGCUGCCUACCUUAUUCAUGUUAAAUAUUAUUGUUCAACCACAGUAAACUGAAAGAAAUAAAAUUGGAACAGAUGCACCUCCACUGUGUCCAGAGUUUUUAAGGGAAAAGCCACCAAAAUUAAGCUCAAACUGGCUUUAGCAAAAAAAAAAAGUAAUUUAUUUUUGUAUUUCACAAAAAAGAGUCUUGGUGUUAUCAUGGGAGUAGGUGCAGCAGAAUUCCGUUCUCCAUUGGCACUCAACUUUGCCUUCUAAAUAGUUUUGAAUGGAUUUUAUCAAUCUUUCCUGUGCCCCAUGACCACCCCUAUGGCAGGGUGGCAUGAAAUACUUCAGCUGACCAAUCCUGGGUCACUUUCCCACCCCGGGAACCCAGAGAAAGUAACAGAAGCCAAAAUGUAAAUCCUAUGAAUUAUUGUUGAAGGGUGUAAAGUCUGUGUCUAGAUUCAUUUUUUUUACCUGUGGAUGUCCAGUUGUUCCAGCAUUGUUUGUUGAAAAAGACUAUUUUUACCCCAUCAUAUUUCCUUGUCCUUUUGCUAGACAUCAGUUGACUAUGACUCUGUUUCUGAACUCUGUUCUGUUUCAUUAUUUGUCUAUUCUUUUGCUAGUACCACACUAUCUUAUUAAAGCUUUAUAUUAAAUCUAAAAAAUAAAAUAUGAACUUGGAGUGGUGGAAAGAAACCUUGAGGUUCUGUGACUACAGUAAGGCCCCUUGGCUGAUGAUAGACACAUCACUAAGGCCCACAGCACCCAUCCGUUACUCUUUAAGCCCCUACCUGUUCUAACUCAUGCAGUUUACUUUUGGGGGGUAUCUUAGUUCAUUCAGGCUGCUGUAACUAAAUACCAUAGACUGGGUACCUUAUAAACAACAGAAAUGUAUUUCUCGUAGUUCUGGAGCUUGGGAAUUCCAAGAUCAAGGCAUGGGUAGAUUCAGUGUUUGAUGAUGGCCUGUUGCUCAUAGAUGGUGACUUUUAGCUGUGUCCUUACGUGGCGGAAGGAACAAGGCAACUCUCUGGGAUCUCUUUUAAAAGGAUGCUAAUCCCAUCUGUGAAGCUCUUCCCUGCCCUCAUGAUCUAAUCACCUCCCCAAGGCUUCACCUCUUAAUACCAUCAUCACCUUGGGGUUUAGGAUUUCAGCAUAUGAAUUUGCAGGAGAGAGGGUUGGUGGAAGACACGGACAUUCAGAUCAUAGCACUGGGGGACUUACAGAUGUACAGGAUAACCUAUCUUGUUUUGGUGGCAGAAAUGGGAAGAGAAUUCUUCUUAAUGAAAGAAUUUAUGCUAAAUAUAGUUUAAAAUCAACAGCAAAAGCCAAACCACAGUUUUGCAAUACAAGUGUGUCUUCUGGAAGCAAAGUGUUUCCUAAACCUUCUGUGUACCCUUUAAUUGUUAGUAGAGCACAUCCCCAGGACUGAAUUCAGUUCAUUUGUCUGGAACUUUAGAAUGAAAACAAAGCCUUAUUACUGUGCUGACUUACAUAAAACACAGGUGUGUGUGCAUAGAUAGUAAUUGGGCUCAGCUGGGCCAUUUAGGGGUCAAAUACUAGGUAACCAAGGUUACUUGUGCGUAAAAUUAAACCUCAUAAGCUGUAGGCACAGCUUUAUAGCAGCUGGCUUGUUUUGUUUUGGAUUUCUUCUCCUCUCUUUCCAGCAACCACUCCAUACCCCCACUUUCAGGUAUUGAAAAGAUUAGACCUGAGGGUCAGCUUUGGCUCUUUUUCAGAGAGAAAACAGAAUUGUUACAUGGUUCUUAAGAUUAAAUUAUGUUGUAUGAGGUCAAUGGCAAAAGCAAAGAUCAUGUGUUAAGCCUUAGUGCUAUUUUCUACCCUGUGGUCCCAUAUAAACUGGGUGUUGCUCAAGGCUCCUUCUCUUGAUAAUGAUUAUUGUCUUCUCCUCUUCCUAGUCCUGUGAGGACCCUUGGGAGUCACUAUGUCUGGAGAGCCAAUAGACCAAGGCUCCCAUCAUUCUCCUUCCAGCGCAGCACCUCCCAGGCAGGGUAUUUGGUGCUCCAGCAACAUUCACCUUUGAGUGCUCACCAGUAGAUACCGGCUAAAACACUGAGGCUGCUAGGAAAAGCAGAACGUGGUCAAUGUCUGAGGAUGAGACAGGAGAUACAUGAUUUGGGUCAGGGAGGAGGAGAAAGCAUCAGCCUAAUUUGUCUCAAGUUGAACGGCCAUGAAGCUGAACUUGCCUCCUGAAGCUGUCCCCAGCCCUGCUGCUGUCUUAUAGGUUGCUGUAAGACACGGUACUGUUCUGUCCAGGUCUUCCCCACCAACAAAGGUCUAUGGUCUCCAUGCAGCUCAUGUGUGGGGCCACUGUGCCAAUCCACAUUCUUUUCCUCUAUCCAACAAUAUGUAUUGAUUUUUAUUUUACAAAAUGUGGUUGUCCUGUCCAUCCACUGGAAUGGAUUUUGGUUUUCUAACCCCCAAUUCCAAAUUCUUAGUUGUCUCCUUCUCUUCAAUCCUUAUUCCAUUCAAAAAACUACAAUUUCAAUACAAAACAGUGUCAUUUGCCAAACCAAAUUGCUUUCUUUUUAUUUUUAAUUUUUUUGAGACACGGUCUUGCUUUGUCAUCCAGGCUAGAGUGCAGUAGUGUAGUCAUAGCUCACUGUAGCCUCCAUCUCCUGGGCUUGAGCAAUCCUCCCACCUCAACCUCCUGAGUAGCUGGGACUAUUGGUGCAUGCCACCAUGCCUGGUUAAUUUUUUAAUAUUUUUGUAGAGAUGAAGUCUCUCUAUUUUCCCUGGGCUGGUAUCAAACUCCUGGCCUCGAGCAAUCCUCCCACCUCAGCCUCCAAAAGUGCUGAGAUUAUAGGUGAGAGCCACCAUGCUUAACCCUGCUUUCGUUUUAAAAGUCACUUAAAUGUGUGACUGUCGGAUAAUCCAGGUUGUAAUAAUGAAGUUUUUGUUUUGUUUUGCUUUUGUUUUUGCUUAUUAACUCAAAUGAAUCUCUAAAUGAUGGAAUUUCAGGCAGAAUAAGAGAGAAUUUUGGAUUGGGUCACUUUACUACAUUUUGCUAAGUAUAUUCUACUUAAAUAAAAGGACAUGUUUUCAUAUAGGGAACUUGCAGCCUCUCUUACCAGAAAUAUUUCCAUCUCCUUAACCUUUUUCUUUUUGAGACAGGGUCUUGCUGUGCUGUGCUGACCAGGCUGGAGUGCAGUGGCACAAUCACAGCUCACUACAGUCUCCACAUCCUGGGCUGAAGUGAGCCUCCCCCUCAGCCUUGCAAGUAGCUGGGAUUAUAGGAAUAUGCCACCAUAUCCAGCUAAUUUUUUUUUUUUUGUAUUCGGAAGAGACAGGUUUCACCAUGUUGCCCAGGCUGGUCUUGAACUCCUGAGUUCAAGUGGUCUGCCCAUCUUGGCCUCCCAAAAUACUGGGAUUACAGGCAUGAGCCAUUGUGCCUGUCCCUCAACAUUUUUUCUUCAACCAGCUCUUAACUUUUUUCUACUUCCUUCUUAUAUCCACCUUUUUGUUAGGAGUUCAAGGCCUAUGCUGACUUAAUAAAAUAUUAUAAAGUACAAGUCAGUAGAGUUAGGAAACUCAUUUAAAAAUCAGCUUUCAAAUGUGAUAAGAAAGAGAGCCAGAAUACAGAAGGUAGUUGUCCUAUUAGAAGGGCUUCCUACUUGAAAGUAGAACAGGUAGCUGGUCAGACCUCAUGGGCAACAUGUUUUUUGCUUCAGGGAGAUGUGGACAAACAGGAGGACUGCCAGAGAAGAACGACUAGACAUAUGAAAGGUCCAUAUGGCCUGACGGAAAGAACAGAAGGUGCCUAUUCUGGUCAAGACAAGACUUCACAGAAAAAGUAACAGAGAGGAGGCUGGAGCACUUUUAGGUAUAAGUGGUUACCUAAACUCUGUUUACAAUACCUUAUCUUAAACAUCCACGGCUGCUUAAGAAGAAAACUGUAAAAUUGCUGUAUUUGCCAUGAGUCUUUAACCCUACUUAUGAAUGUUGUCAAGAACAUUGCCAAGGAAAUAAAGAUGCAUCAUUAAAGCAUGUCAUGUUUGCAAGGUCAUCUCUGAGUGUUGAUUAACUCCUAGCCCUCUAAGCACAGCUACUUCACUUAAAGGUUGCUGCCAAGAGGAAAAUGCCGGUGCUGGUUAACCGUUGUCAAAUGGAUGUAUUUUUCUCAGAUAGGAAUAAAUGAGAACUGAACUGUGACACAGAAAUAGACUAUGCACUUGUUUUUUUCCAUGACAUAAUAAUCAAGAAACAAUGUGGUCGAGCAUGGCGGCUCACACCUGUAAUCCAAGCACUUUGGGAAGCUGAGGCGGGCUGAUCACAUGAGGCCAGGAGUUCUACAUCAGCCUGGCCAACAUGGUAAAACACAAAUCUCUACUGAAAAAGUACAAAAAGUAGCCAGGUGUGGUAACGCAUGCCUGUAAUCCUAGCUACUCGGCAGGCUUCAGAAUGAGAAUCACUUGAACCCAGGAGGCAGAGGUUGCAGUGGGUCAAGAUUAUGCCACUGCACUCCAGCCUGGGUGACAGAGUGUCUCAAAGAAAAAAAAAAAAAGAAGAAAAAAGAAACAAUGUAUAUUUACUUAUUUGUCCUUCAGUUGAGAAAUAUGGCAAUGCACUAUUAAUCCAAGGAAGCAGUAAUGCACCUUGGUUAAAAUGUCAGACUCCAGAGGGAGAAAUGAUCAGAAUCCUGGCAUAACUGAUUUUUAACUUUGUCAAAGUAUAUUAACUUCUCUAAGCAUCUUCAGUUUCCCCCUCUGUAAAAUGGGGAUAACUUAUGCCUGUUGUCUCUCAUGGAGAUGAGAUGAGAGUGAUAGGAAACCUUUUUUUUAAUUGCAUUUUAGGUUUGGGGGUACAUGUGCAGAACAUGCAAGAUAGUUGCAUAGGUACACACAUGGCAGUGUGUUUUGCUGCCUUCCUCCCCUUCACCCACAUUUGGCAUUUCUCCCCAGGCUAUCCCUCCCCAGCUCCCCCCACCGCUGUCCCUCCCCUAUUCCCCCCAAUAGACCCCAGUGUGUAGUACUCCCUUCCCCAUGUCCAUGUGUUCUCAUUUUUCAUCACCCGCCUAUGAGUGAGAAUAUGUGGUAUUUCAUUUUCUGUUCCUGUGUCAGUUUGCUGAGAAUGAUGUUCUCCAGAUUCAUCCAUGUUCCUACAAAGGACACGAACUCAUCAUUUUUGAUUGCUGCAUAAUAUUCCAUGGUAUAUAUGUGCCACAUUUUCCCAGUCCAGUCUAUCAUCGUUGGGCAUUUGGGUUGGUUCCAGGUCUUUGCUAUUGUAAACAGUGCUGCAAUGAACAUUCGUGUGCAUGUGUCCUUAUAGUAGAACGAUUUAUAGUCCUUUGGAUAUAUACCCAGUAAUGGGAUUGCUGGGUCAAAUGGAAUUUCUAUGUCUAGGUCCUUGAGGAAUCACCACACUGUCUUCCACAAUGGUUGAUCUAAUUUACACUCCCACCAACAGUGUAAAAGUGUUCCUAUUUCUCUACAUCCUCUCCAGCAUCUGUUGUCUCCAGAUUUUUUAAUGAUCACCAUUCUAACUGGCGUGAGAUGGUAUCUCAAUGUGAUUUUGAUUUGCAUCUCUCUAAUGACCAGUGAUGAUGAGCAUUUUUUCAUAUGUUUGUUGGUGUCAUGUAUGUCUUCUUUUGUAAAGUGUCUGUUCAUAUCCUUUGCCCAUUUUUGAAUGGGCUUGUUUGUUUUUUUCCUGUAAAUCUGUUUUAGUUCUUUGUAAAUUCUGGAUAUCAGCCCUUUGUCAGAUGGGUAAACUGCAAAAAUUUUUUCCCAUUCUGUUGAUUGCCAAUUCACUCUAGUGACUGUUUCUUUUGCCAUGCAGAAGCUGUGGAGUUUGAUUAGGAAAACUCUUGUGGCAGAGAUUGUUACAUAGCAAGCAGUAACUACCAUUAUAAAUAGAAAAAAGUUGUUCAUGAGUCAAGAGUAUGGGGUUCUGAUCCCAGCUUUGUCACUCACUAGCUAUGCACUUUGGGCUAUCAUAUCAGUUCUCUGGAUCUUAGUUUCCAUAACUAGAAAGUGAAAGACAUUGAUUGCAUGAUCUUGAAGAUUACUUCUAACUCUAAAAUACUAUUCUGGUUAGUAGAGGCAAUUAAAAACUCUAACAAAAAGCCUCCUUCAUUUUGAAUUGGUAGUUAAUUGUUUCAGUCUUUACUUAAACAUUCAGGGAAAGACCUUUUGUUUUUCACCACUUCUAUUUACCCAGGAACUUCAUUGCCUCCAGUUACAGAGAAAGGUGUUAAAAUUAGCAACCACUUGCUGCAGUGUGAACACUAACUACUCCUAAUUGCUUUCUUUAAGAUUGCUUUCUGUUAAUGGGGAGGGCUUGGAAAUCCGGUCUCAAUCCAAAUUCCUAAUGUCUUUAUCAAACACAAACCCAUUCAUUUCUAUGUAGGAUUUUUACUGAAGUCUAACAUUCAUAUAAAAAGUGCACAGAUUCCAAAUCUACAACUUAAUAAUUUUUUUCUUUUUUUGAAACAGAGUCUUGCUCUGUCACCCAGGCUGGAAUGUAGUGGCACGAUCGCAGCUCACUGCCACCUUCGCCUCCUGGGUUCAAGCGAUUCUCCAGCCUCCUGAGUAGCUGGGACUACAGGUGCUUGCCACCAUACCCUGCUAAUUUUUGCAUUUUUAGUAGAGACAGAGUUUCACUAUAUUGGCCAGCUGGUAUCGAAUUCCUGACCUUGUGAUCUGCCCACCUUAGCCUCCCAAAGUGCUGGGAUUACAGGCAUGAGCCACCAUGCCCAGCCAGUGAAUUUUUAAGAAGUGAACAUAACAUGUACCAGUAUCCAGAUCAAGAAGUAGAACAUUAGCCGGCACCUCAAAAUUCCCCUUAUGCCUCUCUGUCUAGUCAGUAAUUCCUGUCCAAGGUUAACCACCAUCCUGAUCCGAAAUCUAAUGUCACAGAUACUGUUGCAUGUUUUUGACCUUUAUGGAAAUGAAAUCACCACAUGGUUUAGUUGUCAUUUUCAUUUGUAAAUUUUGGAGUGGAAUUGCUGGAUCAUAUAACACCUGCAUAUGUUCAGCUUUAAUAGAUAUUACCAAUGUAUACACCCUUCCCCUACCCCAGUAAGUCAAUGAGAGUUUCAUUUCUGAUUAUCUUUUUUAAAACCUGCACCCUUUUUCGUGCAGCCUCCUAUUUUGAUUUAGGUUUUCAGCUUUCUCCCCAAUACCUGUAUCUUCUACCUCAGCGAUGAUUCACUUCAGUUUGCCUUGGAUAGACCCUGGAUAUACCAAAUUCAUACCUGUUGUUCUUGCAUGAUUAUUAUUAGUGCUCCUUUCAUUUUCAAUUUGUCCUAGGUUAGAGAGAGAUGAAAAAAAAAUCCAAAAUUAGAUUGUCGAGAUGUUUGCAGAACCCUAUCAGUGUAAUAAGAAAACGUUGAGGCGGCCAGGCGCGGUGGCUCAAGCCUGUAAUCCCAGCACUUUGGAAGGCCGAGGCGGGUGAAUCACGAGGUCAAGAGACCGAGACCAUCCUGGUCAACAUGGUGAAACCCCGUCUCUACUAAAAAUACAAAAAAUUAGCUGGGCAUGGUGGUGCAUGCCUGUAAUCCCAGCUACUCAGCAGGCUGAGGCAGGAGAAUUGCCUGAACCCAGGAGGCGGAGGUUGCAGUGGGCCGAGAUCGCGCCUUUGCACUCCAACCUGGGUAACAAGAGUGAAACUCCGUCUCAAAGAAAAGAAAGAAAAAAGAAAAGAAAACGUUGAGGCUGAGCGCGGUGGUUCAUACCUGUAAUCCUAGCACUUUGGGAGGCUGAGGUGGGCGGAUCACAAGGUCAGGAGAUCCAGACCAUCCUAGCCAACAUGGUGAAACCCCGUCUCUACUAAAAAUGCAAAAAAUUAGCUGAGCGUGGUGGCAGACACCUGUAAUCCCAGCUAUUCAGGAGGCUGAGACAGGAGAAUUGGUUGAAUCCAGGAGGUGGAGGUUACAGCGAGCUGAGUCGAGAUUGUGCCACUGCACUCCAGCCUGGUGACAGAGGUGAGACUCUGUCUCAAAAAAAAAAAAAAAAAAAAAAAGAAAGAAAA